AUUAUACUCCCUUCGUUCGGAAUUACUUGUCUCGGAAAUGGAUGUAUCUAUACAUCCAUUUCCGAGACAAGUAAUUCCGAACGGAGGGAGUAAGAC
rfam:Triticum aestivum genome assembly, contig: Triticum_aestivum_CS42_TGACv1_scaffold_112698_2AS